UACGGAGGGUGCGAGCGUUUAAUCGGAAUUACUGGGCGUAAAGGGUGCGUAGGUGGUUUGAUAAGUUAUCUGUGAAAGUCCUGGGCUUAACCUAGGGAGGUCAGAUAAGACUGUUGAGCUAGAGUAUAGGAGAGGGUAGUGGAAUUUCCGGUGUAGCGGUGAAAUGCGUAGAGAUCGGAAGGAACACCAGUGGCGAAGGCGGCUACCUGGCCUAAUACUGACACUGAGGCACGAAAGCGUGGGGGAGCAAACAGG
rnacentral:rRNA from 1 species